UGCUGUCAUGGCUGCCACCGAAGUGGGGAGCUGAGUGUUUUCGCCUUUCUGGGGGUCUUGGCGGGCUUUCUGUUUCGUCAGAAGGUCAUCAACAGCCCUUUGGGGUGCUCGAGGAGAAUUUGUUUGGCCUUGUCUUUGUAGUAGCUGGUGUUCCUGACCCUGUUUGGGGUUAAGCUGGGCUGCUUUUCUUUGGUCUAGAGGAGCUCAGAUAACUCCUCAUUGAUGAGCAUAAAUUACAGUUCUCAUAAACGUGGAAUAUAUCUCCAGCUAUAUCAUCCUCACAAAGGACAGUAAGGUUUCUGAGACAAAGGGGUCAAGUAUUUUUAAAAAUCUCCAAAAUAAUAUAUAAGUCAGUGUGAUACAGGAAAAUGAGGAUGUACAUGAAUUUCACCAAAUGAUUUUCAACCAAAGUGUCAAGGCUUGAACUCAAGGCAUUGAGCUUGAAUUCAUG